GACGAACGCUGGCGGCGUGCUUAACACAUGCAAGUCGAACGGAAAGGCCCUGCGUUUGUGGGGUGCUCGAGUGGCGAACGGGUGAGUAACACGUGAGUAACCUGCCCUUGACUGUGGGAGAACUUCAGGAAACUGGGGCUAAUACCGGAGAGGAGCUCCUGCUGCAUGGGGGGGGUUGGAAAGUUUCGGCGGUUGGGGAUGGACUAGCGGCUUAUCAGCUUGUUGGUGGGGUAGUGGCGGCCGAAGGCUUUGAAGGGUAGCCGGCCUUGGAGGGUGACCGGCCUCCUUGGUCCUGCGAUACGGCCCAGACUCCUACGGGAGGCAGCAGGGGGGAAUCUUGCACAAUGGCCCGACGCCUGAUGCAGCAACGUCGCGUGCGGGAUGACGUCCUUCGGGUUGUAAACCGCUUUCGCCUGUGCCGAAGCGUGAUUGACGGUACCGGGUCAAGAAGCCCCGGCUAACUACGUG
rnacentral:rRNA from 1 species